UUUGAAAAUUUAUGAAACUACCCAAAUGAGGAGGAGGACCAAUCCAGUUUGGAAAGUAGUUCAGUCCCCGCAACAACCUACAAACGUGGAAUGUGGGUUUUAUGUAAUGCGGUAUAUGAAAGACCUCAUUAGAGAUCAAAGCAUCCUAAGAAAACAAAAUUUCAAUGGAAAAAAACUUACACGGAAACCGAACUUGAUGAAGUGCGAGUUGAAUGGAUUAAUUUCGUACUAAAGAAUAUGAGUUGAAAUCCAAUGUAAGUAUGAUAUAACUUUCGUUCUUUAAAUUACUAAUCAACAAUUUCUUUAGUUGGUAAAGAA